rnacentral:rRNA from 1 species
AGUGAACGCUGGCGGCAGGCCUAACACAUGCAAGUCGAGCGGCAGCGCGUCCUUCGGGAUGCCGUCGCGGGGGCGACGGGCGGGGGAUACAUCGAAACAUGCCCUGCCGCGGGGGCUAGGGUGGGGACGCAUAGGCACAUACCGCAUACGCCCAAAGGGCGAACGCGGGGGAUCGCAAGACCUCGCGAGACUGGGUGAGCCGAUGUGCGAUUAGCUAGUUGGCGGGGUAACGGCCCACCAAGGCGACGAUCGGUAGCUGGUCUGAGAGGAUGAUCAGCCACACUGGAACUGAGACACGGCCCAGACUCCUACGGGAGGCAGCAGUGGGGAAUAUUGGACAAUGGGCGCAAGCCUGAUCCAGCCAUGCCGCGUGGGUGAAGAAGGCCUUCGGGUUGUAAAGCCCUUUUGUUCGGGAAGAAAACGUGUGGGCUAAUACCCCGCUGUGAUGACGGUACCGGAAGAAUAAGCACCGGCUAACUUCGUG